rnacentral:rRNA from 1 species
AGCCAGACUCCUACGGGAGGCAGCAGUGGGGAAUAUUGCACAAUGGGGGAAACCCUGAUGCAGCGACGCCGCGUGAGUGAAGAAGUACUUCGUUAUGUAAAGCUCUAUCAGCAGGGAAGAAAAUGACGGUACCUGAGUAAGAAGCCCCGGCUAACUACGUGCCAGCAGCCGCGGUAAUACGUAGGGGGCAAGCGUUAUCCGGAUUUACUGGGUGUAAAGGGAGCGUAGACGGCAUGGCAAGUCAGAUGUGAAAGCCCGGGGCUCAACCCCGGGACUGCAUUUGAAACUGUCAGGCUGGAGUGCAGGAGAGGUAAGUGGAAUUCCUAGUGUAGCGGUGAAAUGCGUAGAUAUUAGGAGGAACACCAGUGGCGAAGGCGGCCUACUGGACGGUGACUGACGCUGGGGCUCGAAAGCGUGGGGAGCAAACAGGAUUAGAUACCCCGGUAAC